rnacentral:rRNA from 1 species
ACGAACGCCUGGCGGCGUGCCUAAAACAUGCAAGUCGAACGAGGCAGUAAUGCCUAGUGGCGAACGGCGGGGAGUAAGACAUAAGCAACGUGCCCCCGAAGUCUGGGAUAUACGGUCGGAAAGACUGGGCAAUACCGGAUACGGCCACCAGAAGGCAUCUUUUGGUGAUUUAAAUGGUUUUUUUCGCUCCCGGGAGCGGCUUAUGGCCUAUCAGCCUAGUUGGUGGGGGUAAAGGCUUACCAAGGGCCUACGACGGGUAGGGGGGUCUGAGAGGAUGAUCCCCCCGAGUGGGACUGAGACACGGCCCACACACCUACGGGUGGCAGCAGUUGGGAAUCUGCACAAUGGGGGAAACCCUGAUGCAGCGAUCGCCGCGUGGAGGACGAAGGAUUUAGGUCUGUAAACUCCUUUUACCAGGAAAGACUUAGGACGGUACCUGGUGAAUAAGCUCCGGCCUAACUACGUGGCCAGCAAGCCGCCGGGUAAUACGUAGGGAGGCGAGCGUUGUCCGGAUUUACUGGGCGUAAAGGGGCGCGUAGGCGGUCUGUUAAGCAUAGUGUGAAAUCUCCAGGGCUCAACCCCGGAAAACCGCUUUUGUGAACUGGCAGACUGGAGGAAGGCAGAGGUGAGUGGAAUUCCCGUUGUGUAGCGGUGACAUGCAUUGAUAUCGGGAGGAAACAACCCCAUGGGCGAAGGGCAGCUCACUGGGCCUUUUCCUGACGCUUGAGGCGCGAAAAAGCGUGGGGUAGCAAACAGAAUUAGAUACUCUGGUAGUCCCACGCCCCUAAACGAUGGAUGCUAGGCGUGAGGGGUAUCGACCCCCCUUGUGCCGCAGCUAACGCAAUUAAGCAUCCCGCCUGGGGAGUACGGCCGCAAGGUUUGAAACUCAAAUGAAUUGACGGGGGACCCCGCACAAGCGGUGGGAGCAUGUGGAUUAAUUCGAUACUAACCGAAGAACCUUACCCAGGUUUUGACAUCGAGUGAAAAAGCUACGAAAGUAGCUCCCUUCCACAAGAAGCACGAAGACACCUGUUGCAUGGUUUGUCGUCAGCUCGUGCCGUGAGGUGUUUGGUUAAGUCCAGCAACGAGCGCAACCCUCGUCCUAUGUUGCCAGCGGGUAAAGCCGGGAACUCGUAGGAGACCGCCGGUGCAAGCCGGAGGAAGGUGGGGAUGACGUCAAGUCAGCAUGGCGGUUACGCCUGGGGCUUCACACAUGCUACAAUGGGCGCAACAAAGGGCAGCAAAAACCGCGAGGUGGAGCUAAUCCCAAAAAUUACGUCCUCAGUUCAGAUAGGAGUCUGCAACUCGACUCCUUGAAGGCGGAAUCGCUAGUAAACGCAGGUCAGCUAUACUGCGUUGAAUACGUUUCCCGGGUCUUGUACACACCGCCCGUCAAGUCAACCCGAAUUGUCUGCACCCGAAAGUCCGUGGCCAACCGUAAGGAGGGAGCGGCCGAAGGUGCGGGGGGGUAAGGGGGACU